GGGGUUGUAGCUCAGUGGUAGAGUGCUUGCCUCCCAUGCAUGAGGCACUGAAUUCAAUCCUCAGCACCA
rnacentral:tRNA from 1 species